ACCUGGCAGUUUCAGUUGGUAUAAAAUGUGACUCUUGAUCUCAGGGUUGUGAGUUCAAGCCCCAUGUUGGGUG
rnacentral:tRNA from 1 species